UACGUAGGUGGCAAGCGUUGUCCGGAUUUACUGGGCGUAAAGAGCGCGCAGGCGGUUGAUUAAGUCGAAUGUGAAAGCCCCCGGCUCAACUGGGGAGGGUCAUUCGAUACUGAUCGACUUGAAGGCAGGAGAGGGAAGUGGAAUUCCGGGUGUAGUGGUGAAAUGCGUAGAGAUCCGGAGGAACACCAGUGGCGAAGGCGACACGCUGGGCCGUACCUGACGCUAAGACGCGACAGCAUGGGGAGCGAACGGG
rnacentral:rRNA from 1 species